rnacentral:rRNA from 1 species
AUUGAACGCUGGCGGCAGGCCUAACACAUGCAAGUCGAACGAGUGGCGGACGGGUGAGUAAUGUCUGGGAAACUGCCCGAUGGAGGGGGAUAACUACUGGAAACGGUAGCUAAUACCGCAUACCAUCGGAUGUGCCCAGAUGGGAUUAGCUAGUAGGUGGGUUAACGGCUCACCUAGGCGACGAUCCCUAGCUGGUCUGAGCGGAUGACGAGCAAAACUGGAACUGAGAAACGGUCAAGACCCCAAGGGAGGGCAGCAGUGGGGAAUAUUGCCAAAUGGGCGCAAGCCUGAUGCAGACAUGCCGCGUGGAUGAAGCAGGCUUUCGGGUUGUAAAGUACUUUCAGCGAGAAUGCGUUACUCGCAGAAGAAGCACCGGCUAACUCCGUGCCAGCAGCCGCGGUAAUAC